rnacentral:rRNA from 1 species
UCUUCAGAGACUGCGGAAGGAUCAUUAUCGAGUCAGGGUCCUCUGGGCCCGAUCUCCAACCCUUUGUU